AGCUCCAGUCCAGCGGGGGGCGCUAAACACAUGUUUGUUUGCCAAACACCAUUAAACCUGAGAGGAAGAAGAUCAGUUUCAGCGCGCUGAGCAGAGUCUUCUGAGGAGAGCUCAGCAGCUCACGAGUUAAAUGAAGAAAAUUAGGAGAAUGAAGAAUCAAGUGAAGUUGAGGAGAGAAAUCAUAUUAAAACUGAAGAAAAACCUUUGAGCUGCUCUCAAACCAAACA